rnacentral:rRNA from 1 species
UACAGAGGGGGCAAGCGUUAUUCGGAAUUAUUGGGCGUAAAGGGCGCGUAGGCGGCCAUUCAAGUGACGGGUGAAAGCCCUCGGCUUAACCGAGGAACUGCCUGUCAGACUGGAUGGCUUGAGACCGGGAGAGGUGAGUGGAAUUCCCAGUGUAGCGGUGAAAUGCGUAGAUAUUGGGAGGAACACCAGUGGCGAAGGCGGCUCACUGGACCGGAACUGACGCUGAGGCACGAAAGCGUGGGGAGCAAACAGG